rnacentral:lncRNA from 1 species
GGGUCGGGGCCUGGAUAGGGUUGGGGUGAGCCAUAACGGGGAGGAAGGUGCUGCCCUUAUCGCUCUGCUCCAUCUACUCCAGGACAGCGGCAGUGGCGAGGAACAGGCUCUUUGUGUCAGGAACCGUUCUGCCUUUGAACAGCAACAUCACCACUUGCUGCACUGUCUAGAGAAGACAACGUGCCAUGAGUUCACAGAUGAGCUCACCUUCAGUGAAGCCCUGGGAGCCGUCUCGCCGGGUGGCCGCACCAGCCGUAGCACCUCUGUGUCUUCCCAGCCAGUGGGACCCGGAAGCCUGCUGUCUUCUUGCUGCCCUCGCAGGGCCAAGCGCCGCGCCAUCCGCCUUGCCAACUCCACUGCCUCAGUCAGCCGUGGCAGCAUGCAGGAGCUGGACAUG